AAUUCUCAAAACCCUUUUUCUUUUUGAGGAAGGGCUUUGGAUUUGGAGGCCUUUUGCUGGUUUCACGUCGAAGCCAGCUCCUCCUAAAUGAAUUAGUGGGGUUCGCUUUUGUCGAUCCUUGACGUGAUAAGAUGUUUCUGCGUCUUGGGUUUGGCACUGUUGCCCGCUUCUAACCGUCUCAUGGACAACGAUGGUGCUCCGGUCGCCGCCUCUCCGUAGGUGGUCGGCUUGACCCACGAAAAAA
rnacentral:misc_RNA from 1 species